rnacentral:lncRNA from 1 species
UCACUUUUUAGCAUGUUAUUCCAUUUUCAAUAAUCAAAUAUGUCUAAGCACCCUAAUAUACAUCUCAUGCAUAUUAUAGACAAACUAAUCAAGGAUGAUCAUGGAAUUUUUUAAUAAAUCCAAUUUAAGCCAAAAUUGGUUUUAAGGUCCACCUAGGUAUCAAGCAAGCAAUAAUGAUUAUGAGACAUCUUAUGCCUCAAAUUAUUACAAUUAUUAGUUUCUAUUUGAGAGGCCAAAAUAUCAUUGGAAGUGCUGCAACGAUCCAUAAAGUCUUCUUGCUCCAAGGCAUCGUAAAUACGUCGUCCCUCCUUUUACAAUCAUCUUGUAGAAAUUACAUAUUUAGAAGAAAUUGGGGUACAAAUUUAGGGGUAAUGGGAUUCAAUCACGCAUAUAUUCAAUCAUCACAUGAUAUAAAUAUAUCAUAAAAUAUCUAGGUCUUUCCAUGAUCAUCCUUCAUGCUAUUAUAAAUGGAAAUAAUAUAAAUCAUGCUUUAAAAAUUCAAAAUUGAAUGAAGAUGGCUCUGAUACCACUUGAAGGACAACAUUU